CGAAAUGCCCGGCAUAUCGAUUGGACGCGUUGCAGUCCUGGCAAGCACAGUUAUUGGCAACUGCCAGCCCUGUUCUUGUGGAGUUAUAAAAAUAAUACAAAAACUGUUCGAAAUGAACGAAAAUUCCUAAAACAAAGUAUUGGAAAGUAAUGCAUUAACUUAUACACAGUAAAAGACAUGUGCAUUUCUUAUAUAUAAGUGGAAGCAGAAAUUCAUCAUUUAAACUCUCCAAGACGACAUCAGCAGCAACAAUAACAACUACAGCAACUACAACAACAAUUGUGUUCAGCUUAUAUAUAUCUACAAAUAAAAAAUCGUGCGUGAAAAUGUUUUUUGUUGUGUUCCGUUAAUUCGCUCAUGAAAUGUAUGUUCCCAUGCAAAAUGUGCAGAGCAGUACUUUGUAUUAACAACAACAGCAACAACUACUACAUAUAUAAUAUAAAGAAUAAUAAUACAAACAGUUUAACGACAACAACAACAAUAACUUAGAUACCACGAAAAAGCAAAAUAAAGUUUUUUUCGUUUUGGCAUUGGCCAUUAUCUGUCCGGCCUGCUCUCUCGCGCGGACGUUCUUUAGGCUCGCUCUCCCUUUCGCGCGCGGCUCUCGGUGUUUGUGCGAAACAAAAAACAAAAACAAAGAAAGGAGAGUGGGAGAGACCGUUGUUAUUUUUGUUGUUUUUUUUCGUUUUGCAUUAUUUUUGGGCGCUUGCGCGCAUACACACACAAACAGAGAAGCAUAGUGAGAAAGCGAGAAGAAGAGCGACACAGACACACGUGCGCGACGGCAGUGUGUGUGUGUGCGCAAUGGAUUUGCACAUUGAUUGCAAAAAUAUGAACAUGUGUGCGCGCGUGUGCGAAAAUUUGUAUCUGUGUGCGUGUCUAAAUGAAGAACGUGAAAGCUACAACAACCAUUAACAAUUGUGUUUAUAAACAUUUAUGUCUGUGUGUGCAACAACAGCAGCCACAUAACAGCAGUAGCAUUAACAUUAACAUAUGUGUAUGUUAACAUCAACAUAACAUUAAAAGCAAAACCCAA